CCCUUAGAUGUUCUGGGCUGCACGCGCGCUACACUGAUGCACUCAACGAGUUUACGACCUUGCCCGAUAGGGUUGGGUAAUCUUUUUAAAAUGCAUCGUGAUGGGAAUAGAUUAUUGCAAUUAUUAAUCUUCAACGAGGAAUUCCUAGUAAGCGCGAGUCAUCAGCUCGUGCUGAUUACGUCCCUGCCCUUUGUACACACCGCCCGUCGCUCCUACCGAUUGAGUGCUCAGGUGAAUAAUUCGGACUGCAGCAAUGUUUGGAUCCCGAACGUUGCAGCGGAAAGUUUAGUGAACCUUAUCACUUAGAGGAAGGAGAAGUCGUAACA
rnacentral:rRNA from 1 species